rnacentral:rRNA from 1 species
AUGAAGGGAGGAUAUGAUAUGCAAGCCACACCAGGGGAGCGGCAGGGUGGGAAGAAGGAAGAGGAGAGUAGGAGAGGCAGGCCAACAACGGCAAGAAGGGAAGAAGGGCUUGGGAGGAGCAGGGGGACGCUUGCAGGGCGGGACUUGGAGAUCCCAAACAUCCCAGUAGAGAAGCAAGAGAUCGAUGGGUUAGGUGGCCCGCUGCUACUGGCCUCCGUUGCGUUUAUUUGGCUGCGAGAAUCGCCUGAUGGCCGCCUCGCGAUUCGCGCCGCGGAUCUUCGCAGGGUGUCCCGUCCGGCCGGUAACUGCUAUCGUUGGGCAGUCCUACAAGAUAGGGCUACUUGUCUGCUCCCGUCAGUCCGGGAUGGAUAG